UUAAAAGCAAUGACAGAGACAACAAUACUAAUAGUGUUAUCCACAGAGAACCAAUGUUGCUGAGAAUUGGUGUUAACGGUAGUAUAAUGAUCACUCUGGAGCUUUUGUACUGAAUAUUUUUAGUAAGUACAAACGUCUGUCAACGUUACAUGACUAAGGUUAAGGUAAUUAAUUAUCCGACCUGAAAAAAGAGGGGUAGAUGUAUUUUUAUAUCUACAAAUAAGGUGGUACCGCGGAAUAAAACUUUCGUCCUUAUA
rnacentral:ncRNA from 4 species